GGCCACCCAAACUGCAUUAUUUUAUGACUCUGUAAUACAACUCAAAUCAUAAUACAAAAUCAACAGUUCGGCAAAAAUAAUAAUAUUAUUCCCGAUACAAUCACAUAAUUAUUUCCUCACAUUUAAUUUAAUUAAUCACAACCUCAAUUUACAUAACAUAAUAUUAACUCCUUUUAUAAUUAAUCUACAGUAAUUCUAGAAUCAUGCUACUAAUGAAUUAAAUAUUUUAAUUAAUUAAUUAUAACUAAUAAUUAAUAAACCAAAUAUUUUCUAAUAAUUCUAAAUUAAUUUUCAAAGUCUAAAUAAAAUUAUACCGAGCAGAAAUCCGAACUUCUGUGCGUCCAAAAAACACCAGAGUCUGAAAGCCGGUACCUCCAACGGUGUCAGAUUUCGAAUCGAGAGACGCCUACGCAAGCCCGAGUUAUGGGGAGUCUAAAUAUGCAAAUUUCUUCGCCUGAAACUCGCCGGAAGUCACUGGAUCGAGGCUGAAAAAUUUCACUCCAGUGAGGCUCACCCACUACUGUUGGCGAAGGAAAAGCAAUAGGGAAGCAAUAGGGAAGGGUUGCCUUGGGUUUUUUAGGGUCCAAGAAUCUGUUUCCAGCAUCAGAUUGGUGAAGAGACGUCGACAAGAGGCUAUUUCGGCAGGAACAAUGGAUGAGUCGACUUUUCCUCCUUGCUGCGGUGGGGAACGACAAAAAGGAGGGAGAGAGUGACGUCACCAACGAGAAAUGGAAGAGGGGAGGAAAGUUAGGUGGCUGGCAACGAUGUGGUAUGGUCGGAAAUGGGAGGGAGUGAGGAAAACGGAAGAAGAGGGUGGCAGGGAGAGAAAAGAAGGAGGAGAGAACAAUUUUUGUGUUAUGUUAUUAUUUUAUUAUUUUUUUAAAAUAAAAGAUGAAAAAAAUGCAAAUGAGGCCUUCUUCAAAAAGUUGCUACAAUG
rnacentral:lncRNA from 1 species